rnacentral:rRNA from 1 species
AGAGUUUGAUCCUGGCUCAGGAUGAACGCUAGCUACAGGCUUAACACAUGCAAGUCGAGGGGCAGCAUGACCUAGCAAUAGGUUGAUGGCGACCGGCGCACGGGUGAGUAACACGUAUCCAACCUACCGGUUAUUCCGGGAUAGCCUUUCGAAAGAAAGAUUAAUACCGGAUAGCAUAGCGAGAAGGCAUCUUCUUGUUAUUAAAGAAUUUCGAUAACCGAUGGGGAUGCGUUCCAUUAGUUUGUUGGCGGGGUAACGGCCCACCAAGACAUCGAUGGAUAGGGGUUCUGAGAGGAAGGUCCCCCACAUUGGAACUGAGACACGGUCCAAACUCCUACGGGAGGCAGCA